rnacentral:rRNA from 1 species
GAGUUUGAUCGUGGCUCAGAUUGAACGCUGGCGGCAGGCCUAACACAUGCAAGUCGAGCGGAUGACGGGAGCUUGCUCCUUGAUUCAGCGGCGGACGGGUGAGUAAUGCCUAGGAAUCUGCCUGGUAGUGGGGGACAACGUUUCGAAAGGAACGCUAAUACCGCAUACGUCCUACGGGAGAAAGCAGGGGACCUUCGGGCCUUGCGCUAUCAGAUGAGCCUAGGUCGGAUUAGCUAGUUGGUGGGGUAAUGGCUCACCAAGGCGACGAUCCGUAACUGGUCUGAGAGGAUGAUCAGUCACACUGGAACUGAGACACGGUCCAGACUCCUACGGGAGGCAGCAGUGGAGAAUAUUGGACAAUGGGCGAAAGCCUGAUCCAGCCAUGCCGCGUGUGUGGAGAAGGUCUUCGGAUUGUAAAGCACUUUAAGUUGGAGGAAGGGCAGUAAGUUAACACCUUGCUGUUUGACGUUACCGACAGAAUAAGCACCGGCUAACUCUGUG